GGAGGUAACGCGUAUCCAACCUUCCCUAUAGUAGAGGAUAGCCCGGCGAAAGUCGGAUUAAUACUCUAUGUUUUCCAAUGCAGACAUCUAAAAUGGAACAAAGGUUUACCGCUAUAGGAUGGGGGAUGCGUCUGAUUAGGUAGUCGGCGGGGUAACGGCCCACCGAGCCCUCGAUCAGCAGGGGUUCUGAGAGGAAGGUCCCCCACAUUGGAACUGAGACACGGUCCAAACUCCUACGGGAGGCAGCAGUGAGGAAUAUUGGUCAAUGGGCGAGAGCCUGAACCAGCCAAGUAGCGUGCAGGAUGACGGCCCUAUGGGUUGUAAACUGCUUUUAUGCGGAGAUAAAGUGGGGAACGUGUUCCCUUUUGUAGGUACCGCAUGAAUAAGGACCGGCUAAUUCCGUGCCAGCCGCGGC
rnacentral:rRNA from 1 species